rnacentral:siRNA from 1 species
CAGGACCUGCAGGUGCUGGUUG